CAGUGUUGUCCAUGUCUCUACCCAGGCUUCUGUGUAGUCUACUGGUGGGGUCUCCCUACCUGCUGGUGACCAUCAUACUGCUGGUGAAAUGCUGCAGGAGCAGGACUCAAGGUGAAACCAGGGUACCCAGGAAGACCCACCAAGACCAAUUAGGUGAUCGUGUUGAAGAAGAGUGAGGCUGAGGUCACCUGAUCACCAUAACAACCAUCAGAAUGGAACUCAUGGAAUUCUAAUAUAGAACUGUGAGUCACUAUGCUGUAUGUUGUUACAUUGUAGCUCCACCUGCUGGAACAAUAGUGGCAUUUGAUCAAAUGUGAUCUAUUAACUGAUACAUGUAUUAUUCUGAUUGGAAUGUGUUUUAAUAUAAUGUGUGUUGUAUUAUUCAUUCAGCAGCUUUAACAUCAGUCAUAUACUGGUCAUAUACUGUAUAGCAUUAUGGUUGAUACAUUGUAAAUGCCAUAACUUUUCAUGUCUAUACAGAUCAACUAAUAUGUGUUGAG